UGGCGUUGGUCUAUGCGUCUUCUUUUCUAGACAAAUAACCUUUCUCUCGAACAGGUUAGAUGUUAGAAUGGCGUGUUCUUGUGUUUGAACCGCAAAGAAUGUAGAUUUAAGAUGAAGAGAAUAAUGAUAUAAGCAAUAUACUUGUCUUGAACUCACAAACUCAUAGCUAUAGAUAGUAACUCAUUCGGCUUCCAUAACCCCAACUAAGAGAUUUAGUUACCCAUGAAUGCGAAGGAUAUCACGUUUUGCAUGGUGGAUGGCGUGAAUAGUAGGUGUUUGGCGUGUGGUUUUAGUGAUUCCGUAGCAAGUAACGAUUCUCUUGUUGUGGAAUUUAAGAGUAGAAGAAUGAAGAAUUGAGAAUGGGUUGUAGGAAGAUGUCUUAAUUGUAAGGAGAUGAAUGAAUUGUCAGAAUGUCUCCCCCCCCCCUUCAAAAUCUCUAACAUGAUAGGGUAUUUAUAAUACUCCUAUCCUACUCCUACUAAACUAAUAAAAUAAAUAACCAAAUCCUAAUAUACUAAUGAAAUCCUUGACCCAAUUGUACUAGGGUAAGGUUACAAAAUUAUAAUCCAAAUAGAAUGAUGAAACACAUAACCUAAUUGCACUAGGUUAAUGUAUUAUGGCAAAAAUCCAGCUUUGUGUCUGUAAGUCCCAAAGUCUUCAGAAAUGCUGUUUUAGCCCGGGACAGAUUUUCCAUGCAGCAGAUUUAGUCCUUUAUGCGUCCAGCUCCUUUCCAUCUCGUUUGUGAGCUUUCUUUUGCGUCAAGUAAGCCAUAAAUUGCUGUAUUUUGCAUCAUUUAUACCUGAAACUUUCCUAAUCACA
rnacentral:lncRNA from 1 species